CCUACGGGAGACAGCAGUGAGGAAUAUUGGUCAAUGGACGAGAGUCUGAACCAGCCAAGUAGCGUGAAGGAUGACUGCCCUAUGGGUUGUAAACUUCUUUUAUAUGGGAAUAAAAUGUUCCACGUGUGGGAUUUUGUAUGUACCAUAUGAAUAAGGAUCGGCUAACUCCGUGCCAGCAGCCGCGGUAAUACGGAGGAUCCGAGCGUUAUCCGGAUUUAUUGGGUUUAAAGGGAGCGUAGGUGGAGUGGUAAGUCAGUUGUGAAAGUUUGCGGCUCAACCGUAAAAUUGCAGUUGAAACUGGCAGUCUUGAGUACAGUAGAGGUAGGCGGAAUUCGUGGUGUAGCGGUGAAAUGCUUAGAUAUCACGAAGAACUCCGAUUGCGAAGGCAGUUCACUGGACUGCAACUGACACUGAGGCUCGAAAGUGUGGGUAUCAAACAGGAUUAGAUACCCCAGUAGUC
rnacentral:rRNA from 1 species